ensembl:lncRNA
GUGAAAUGGUGUAGUGAGAUGUGUAUUCAUUUUGACUGGACAUGGAGGAUAAAACACUAUUACAUAUCAUACUGGGGUUUAAACAAUAACCUGCCCAUCAGAUCACCACAUUACCAAGUAGAUGGAGCCAUUUGGGACACAACCAGUAUAAUAUCAGAAUUUUUAAGAUAUAGACUGUAGUCUAGUAAUUGAAGAUAGAGUGUAGUCUAGUAAUUGACCAUCGGAAUAAGGGCAUCAUAUGAAGAUACACUGUAGGUUAGUAAUUGACCAGCUGAAUGAGGACAUCAUAUGGAGAUAUACUGUAGGUUAGUAAUUGACCAGCUGAAUGAGGACAUCAUAUGAAGAUAGACUGUAGGUUAGUAAUUGACCAGCUGAAUAAGGACAUCAUAUGGAGAUAGACUGUAGGUUAGUAAUUGACCAGCUGAAUGAGGACAUCAUAUGGAGAUAGACUGUAGUCAUCCUGACUAGGCUACUUUUAGAAGGUGUCAAACACAGAACUCACACUUGAUACCAAAACAACUAGAAAUCUAAAAAUGUAUGUGAUGUCAUACCUGCGUUGUAUUCUCUCAAAUAUAAACCAAUCCGCUUUCAGGAUUCUAAGAAACCAGUUGAUGUGUACAGAGGACACACUACAUUAAAUUAUACAAGGAGAAUUGCAAGCCACAGUGAUGAUGAACGUUCUCAGAAUCAGCAAGAGCUUUAUUGCCAAGUUUCACAACAAAAAAGGAAUUUGUUCUAUACAAAAGAAAGAAAAAC